rnacentral:rRNA from 1 species
GUAGUCAUAUGCUUGUCUCAAAGAUUAAGCCAUGCAUGACUAAGUAUAAGCAAUUUAUACGGUGAAACUGCGAAUGGCUCAUUAAAUCAGUUAUCGUUUAUUUGAUAGUACCUUACUACAUGGAUACCUGUGGUAAUUCUAGAGCUAAUACAUGCUGAAAACCCCGACUUCGGAAGGGGUGUAUUUAUUAGAUAAAAAACCAACGCCCUUCGGGGCUCCUUGGUGAUUCAUAAUAACUUAACGAAUCGCAUGGCCUUGCGCCGGCGAUGGUUCAUUCAAAUUUCUGCCCUAUCAACUUUCGAUGGUAGGAUAGUGGCCUACCAUGGUGGCAACGGGUAACGGGGAAU